rnacentral:rRNA from 1 species
GACAGAGGCCUCAAGCGUUAGGCGGAAUCACUGGGCUUAAAGCGUGUGUAGGCGGACGCCUAAGUACCUUGUGAAAUCCCACGGCUCACCCGUGGAACGGCUGGGUAUACUGGGCGUCUUGGGCCAACUAGGGGCAACUGGAACAAGCGGUGGAGCGGUGAAAUGCGUAGAUAUCGGGAGGAACAUCUGUGGCGAAGGCAGCUCGCUGGCCUAAAACUGACGCUGAGGCGCGAAAGCGUGGGGAGCAAACAGG